CAGGGAGAGCAUGACGCCUCUUCAGGAGGUCCUGAAUACUUUCCCAAGCAGUGCCAGUUAAUUUCAAACUGGCAAAUUGUACCCUCCGAUCUUCCGUGACCCCAUACCAGGCAAAGAACCGAUCCAUAUCUCUAACACAUUGAUUGAAUACACUAGGAUCUAGACAACCAUCAAAUGUAGGAACAUCUAUCUUAAUGUUUCGAAAGAGGCGCUCCUCGUGGCAAGGGAGAGGUUGUGUACCAUGAUGGUGUUAUUCCCGCUCUCAUCCACGAGCCUGAUUUCCUUCCCUAUGAUCAUAUCUGGCGUGGUGUCAACCAACUUGUAGACGAUGUUGAGUUCUAUUAAUGGAAGUUUCAGAGUUUUAAGCUUCAGUCGAAUAUGGGGUUGGAUCAAGACUCAAGAGUGUUCAACCUAGCGGCUAGGGCUCUAUUCUCCUUACGAGUAGCGGCUAUCUCAGUUUGGAUAGCUGUUAAUUGAUUUUGUAAUUGUGCUAACUGUCGGGUGAGGACUUCAAUUUGGGACGGAUCCAUGGCAAGGGUACUAGAACUAGAGGUAGUAACGCAACCACUAUACAAAUGCAUACAAAGUAACACUAACUAAGUGAAAUGCACUAUUGAGAUCAAUAAACAACGGGUACCAACAAUAAAAUAGCAAUUUAUUUUAUUUUAUUUUAUUUUUAUUUUUAAGUUAGUGAAAAAAAAGAUGGGAUUACGUAGGGCCGAACGUGGCAAACUAAUAAUACUGAUGCAAAUAAAAUAGAAAGCAAGGAUACAAAUGACUAUUUGAAAGGUCUAAUCACGUGGGGGUAAUCGGGAAACAAUGGAUGUGAACUCACAAACUCUAAUCAAAUGGAUUUUUAAGGCUACAAUUAUCAAAUAACAGCAACACAUGUAAAUGAUGCUUUAAAAUGAAGUAGUGUAAACCAAGAAUAAAUAAACGUCAAGGACUCCCUGUCAUUUAGUUGCUCAAACUGCUCACACAUGGGCUCUGGAUAUAAUUGCAUCCUUUCCUUCACUUCAAGUGGUUUCCUGUGAAUAUGAGUGACUGUUGUUCUAGUUCUGCUGGUGGUGUAUGUAGAAAUUGUCCCUUUGUUGUGGUGUUGGCGGCGGCAGGUGGCGGUGGAAACGACUGUGACUUUUAUCCUGAGUGUGGAAGUGAAGGGGUGUAUGGCGUCUGGGUUGUGUGUAGGUGGAACGAUUUGUCUGGUGACUGUGGCUUAUGGUGGCCGUGGUGACCAAGAAGAAAUGGGUCGUGGGUUUGAAUUGGAUUAAGUGAAAGUGAGUUUUAACUUGGAUUGGGAGUAAUUUGGACCACUAGUUUAUGGCCCCAAAUGUCUUGAUAAAAGGAAUGGGCUCGCGGGUAAUAAUUAUAUGUGGGUAUAUGGAUUAUUAUA
rnacentral:lncRNA from 1 species